AACCAUAGAAACCUGCGGAGUACCUGCGGAGGGAUCAUUAAAAAAAGAAUCGCAAGAUUCUAUUUUUAAGAGCUUUACUACUACUUUUUUGUAGGAGUAGAGCUUUUUCCACACUCUGUAAUAUUAAAUCGUCUUUUGACGAAAAUCUAUAAAUAAAUAAUAAACAAAACUUUUAGCAAUGGAUCU
rnacentral:misc_RNA from 1 species